rnacentral:rRNA from 1 species
ACGCUGGCGGCACGCCUAACACAUGCAAGUCGAACGAAGUAGCAAUACUUAGUGGCAGACGGGUGAGUAACAUGUAGGUAUCUGCCCUUUGGCCUGGAAUAACACGAGGAAACUUGUGCUAAUACCGGAUAAGUCUUUACGGAGAAAGCUUUAUGCACCAUUGGAUGAGCCUGCACUUGAUUAGUUUGUUGGUGGGGUAAUGGCCUACCAAGACUGUGAUCAAUAGCUGAUUUGAGAGGAUGAUCAGCCACAUUGGGACUGAGACACGGCCCAAACUCCUACGGGAGGCAGCAGUGGGGAAUCUUGCACAAUGGAGGAAACUCUGAUGCAGCGAUGCCGCGUGAGUGAAGAAGGCCUUUGGGUUGUAAAGCUCUUUCGUCGGGGAAGAAAAUGACUGUACCCGAAUAAGAAGGUCCGGCUAACUUCGUGCCAGCAGCCGUGGUAAUACGAAGGGACCUAGCGUAGUUCGGAAUUACUGGGCUUAAAGAGUUCGUAGGUGGUUGAAAAAGUUGGUGGUGAAAUCCCAGAGCUUAACUCUGGAACUGCCAUCAAAACUUUUCAGCUAGAGUUUGAUAGAGGAAAGCAGAAUUUCUAGUGUAGAGGUGAAAUUCGUAGAUAUUAGAAAGAAUACCAAUUGCGAAGGCAGCUUUCUGGAUCAUUACUGACGCUGAGGAACGAAAGCAUGGGUAGCGAAGAGGAUUAGAUACCCUCGUAGUCCAUGCCGUAAACGAUGUGUGUUAGACGUUGGAAAUUUAUUUUCAGUGUCGCAGCGAAAGCAAUAAACACACCGCCUGGGGAGUACGACCGCAAGGUUAAAACUCAAAUGAAUUGACGGGGACCCGCACAAGUAGUGGAGCAUGUGGUUUAAUUCGAAGAUACGCGCAGAACCUUACCAACACUUGACAUGUUCGUCGCGACUUUAAGAGAUUAAAGUUUUCGGUUCGGCCGGACGAAACACAGGUGCUGCAUGGCUGUCGUCAGCUCGUGUCGUGAGAUGUUGGGUUAAGUCCCGCAACGAGCGCAACCCUCACUUUUAGUUGCCAUCAUUAAGUUGGGCACUCUGAAAGAACUGCCAGUGAUAAGCUGGAGGAAGGUGGGGAUGACGUCAAGUCCUCAUGGCCCUUACGUGUUGGGCUACACACGUGCUACAAUGGUAUCUACAACAGGAAGCAAAACGGCGACGUUAAGCAAAUCCCUAAAAGAUACCUCAGUUCGGAUUGCACUCUGCAACUCGAGUGCAUGAAGCUGGAAUUACUAGUAAUCGUGGAUCAGCGUGCCACGGUGAAUGCGUUCCCGGGUCUUGUACACACCGCCC